UUCAUCAAGAGCAGCCGAGGGAAUGGCCCAAUGACACUGCGGCAACCCCCAAUCAUGGGAAGGUGCCAAGUCCAACGGAUUUAAUCCGGCAGAUGA
rnacentral:ncRNA from 1 species